AGGAUAAACGCUGGCGGCGUGCAUGAGACAUGCAAGUCGAACGGACGAUCAGGGCUUGCUCUGAUCGUUAGUGGCGGACGGCUGAGUAACGCGUAGGUGACCUGUCCCGAAGUGGGGAAUAACUGCCCGAAAGGGUGGCUAAUACCGCAUGUGGUGGUGUGUUCAUUCACACCAGUAAAGCCGCAAGGCGCUUCGGGAGGGGCCUGCGUCCGAUUAGCUCGUUGGUGGGGUAACGGCUCACCAAGGCGACGAUCGGUAGGUGGUCUGAGAGGACGAUCACCCAGACUGGGACUGAGACACGGCCCAGACUCCUACGGGAGGCAGCAGUCGGGAAUUUUGCGCAAUGGACGAAAGUCUGACGCAGCAACGCCGCGUGAGGGAUGACGGCCUUCGGGUUGUAAACCGUCUUUUAUCAGGGAAGAUAAUGACGGUACCUGAUGAAUAAGUCACGGCUAACUACGUGCCAGCAGCCGC
rnacentral:rRNA from 1 species